UUAUGGCUCAGGACGAACGCUGGCGGCGUGCCUAACACAUGCAAGUCGAGCGAUGAAACCCUCGGGUGGAUUAGCGGCGGACGGGUGAGUAACACGUGGGUAACCUGCCUCAAAGAGGGGGAUAGCCUCCCGAAAGGGAGAUUAAUACCGCAUAACAUUAUUUCUUCGCAUGAAGAGAUAAUCAAAGGAGUAAUCCGCUUUGAGAUGGACCCGCGGCGCAUUAGCUAGUUGGUGAGGUAACGGCUCACCAAGGCAACGAUGCGUAGCCGACCUGAGAGGGUGAUCGGCCACAUUGGAACUGAGAUACGGUCCAGACUCCUACGGGAGGCAGCAGUGGGGAAUAUUGCGCAAUGGGGGAAACCCUGACGCCAGCAACGCCGCGUUGGUGAAGAAGGCCUUCGGGUUGUAAAGCUCUGUCUUCUGGGACGAUAAUGACGGUACCAGAGGAGGAAGCCACGGCUAACUACGUGCCAGCCGCAGC
rnacentral:rRNA from 1 species